GAUGAAGAACGUAGCGAAAUGCGAUACGUAAUGUGAAUUGCAGAAUUCAGUGAAUCAUCGAAUCUUUGAACGCAUAUUGCGCUCUUUGGUAUUCCGAAGAGCAUGCUUGUUUGAGUAUCAGUAAACACCUCAAAGCUUUUGGAUUUUUUAAUCGAAAAGCUUUGGACUUGAGCAAUCCCAACACUAAUCUUUUUGAGAUCGGUGGCGGGUUGCUUGAAAUGCAGGUGCAGCUGGACAUUCUCCUGAGCUAAAAGCAUAUUCAUUUAGUCCCGUCAAACGGAUUAUUACUUUUGCUGCAGCUAACAUAAAGGGAGUUUGACCGUAUUGGCUGACUGAUGCAGGAUUUCACAAGGGUCGGCAACGAUUCUUGUUAAACUCGAUCUCAAAUCAAGUAAGACUACCCGCUGAACUUAAGCAUAUCAAUAAGCGGAGGA
rnacentral:misc_RNA from 1 species